rnacentral:rRNA from 1 species
GGGGGCUUACGGGGGCAGCAGUGGGGAAUAUUGCGCAAUGGGGGAAACCCUGACGCAGCAACGCCGCGUGAGUGAAGAAGGCCUUCGGGUUGUAAAGCUCUUUAAUCAGGGACGAAGAAUGACGGUACCUGAAGAAUAAGCUCCGGCUAACUACGUGCCAGCAGCCGCGGUAAUACGUAGGGAGCAAGCGUUAUCCGGAUUUACUGGGUGUAAAGGGCGUGUAGGCGGGCCUGCAAGUCAGAAGUGAAAUCUGGGGGCUUAGCCCCCAAACUGCUUUUGAAACUGUGGGCCUUGAGUGAUGGAGG